UACGUAGGGGGCUAGCGUUGUUCGGAAUUACUGGGCGUAAAGGGCGCGUAGGCGGUGUGUCAAGUCAGGCGUGAAAGCCCCGGGCUCAACCUGGGAACAGCGCUUGAGACUGGCACGCUCGAGUUCGGGAGAGGAUGGUGGAAUUCCCAGUGUAGAGGUGAAAUUCGUAGAUAUCGGGAGGAACACCUGAGGCGAAGGCGGGCUACUGGGCCGAUACUGACGCUGAUGCGCGAAAGCCAGGGGAGCAAACGGG
rnacentral:rRNA from 1 species